ACGGGUCCCAGUGGUGUCGCCGGAUCCCAGUUUGUUUUGCUGCUACCACAGGACAGGUUUUCUCUUUUCCAGUGCUGGAAAGGGACAGUUCACGUGUCUCGUUUUAUCGUGGGAACACUACACCUGAGCCUUCCAAAUGCAUUCAUCCCAUGCUCGCUCCGGAGGGAAGAACCGUCCAGUCACCCUGAUGAGGAAUGUCGUGCCUUGUGCAGGCUGCCCCCGCAGGGCGCCUGCCAGCACUGACCCUGUCACUGCCACAGGCUGAGAACCGUUCUAACUAACGCAGAAUAGAAUUUACAAACUUUGGUUAAAGAAACAAAGGAAACUGGAAGGAAAAUGCAACUGAUUCCAUUUGGAAGACCAAAAUCUGUGGAAAAAAAAAGUUGAGGGAUUAUUGAGUUGCUACCUUCUGACUAAGCUUCAAAAUAAACUACAGUAAUUUUCCUGUGAAGACUUCAUUAUAUAUGACAGUGUAAUUCAUCAAAGAUUCUAGUGCCUGGGAUGCAAACACAGCGCCUCAGAGGAGUGCCAGUGCACAACGUCCCGAUGUGCAGCAGGUCCGUUACAGAGGCUCCUGGGCAGCAGCACAGCACCAGGCUCUCAGUUUGCUGUGUGGUGUGAAGUGCCAUUCCAACAAUUACCUAUUAUUGCUGCCCUCCAUCUAAGGAUUUUUUACAUCUCCCAUAACAAUGGUGUGUUGGAGUUAUGCACAGACCUUUUAUAUGAGUGGACAUAAUAUAUUCCCCCUGUUUUCAGAGAUAUCAAGAAGCUUCAUGAUGAUCACAGGCUCUAUGGCUGCAGCGAUGUCUUACACAACAUUAAAUUAUCUAGUGUAUUGAUUUGAAGGAAGACUUGAAUAGAUGCAGGCCUUUUCUCUCCAUAAUGAGAAAGCAAACAACCACCCGGAAUUUAAACAGUUUAGAAUGAAAAGAUAAUCCAGCAACUCCAUUGAAAGGUCUGGCUUACUAGGGCACUUCACUCAGAACUCUUUUAUUUCAAACUACAGAGUAAGCAGCUGUUCAAAAUGACAGCUAUCUCAAAGUACUUGCAGAUACUGCAAAAUACUCUGGAGUAUCUUUUCUUUAUUUUUUACUGUCUAGACACUCAUUCCCACAUUCAGUCACUGACUCACCUUGUCACUUUCAAAAUAGGGAUCUUUGUCACUUUAACCAGGCAGGUCUAAAAGAUGUGCUGAGAAGAAUAAUUUUAAGUUCUGCACCUCUAUAAUCCAGAGUUUAAAUAUUUAUGUUCACAUGCAUCAGACUGACUGCACAUACAUAGUUCAGAAGCCUGUGUCCCAAUGGCUGCAGUGGGCAUGCCUGACAUUUCUGAAUAUAUUGGCUUUUUAUGUUUUGGGGGGUAUUCACAGAAUGGGACAAACAUUCAAUAUCCUCUGACUUCUUUCAAAUUUGAUCUUUUGGCAGCAAAGAGAACGUAUCUGAAGAAACAUGAAUAUAUGGCUGGGCCAUGUAAAUGAUGUAUCCAGCCGACCAUCCAUCCACUCAUAUUGAGAGACCAAGAGGGAGGGACACUGUUUGCAGUUGUUUGAGGGCAUGUAAUACAACCUCAGUUCUAUGCUCUGCCUUAUGCAGACUUAAAAUCUAUUUUGCUCUGUUGUACUGCUUACUGAUGGCAAAAUGAAAUUAGCAUGGUUCUGGAAAAAUAACACCUAAAAUAUGUGUUAGGUUAAUAUAUCAUAUUUGAAGUGGGAGGGAGUGUCCUUUAACCAAUAAAAAACUGCAGUAAAUUGGUGUUCUAAUUGUCUAUGUAUUAUAUAAUUCCUGCUUAGAGUGCAAGCAAAAAUGGUAAAAAAGCAACAAGAUUCCCUUUUUUAUAAAUAAUCAUAAAAUUUUUAAUUGGGUUGAAUUUCAUGCACGUAACACGCUGUAUGUGCUGCAGCAUAACACAGAAAUACUGGCUCUGUAGAAUUUUUGCCUUUAGUAAUCUGGCAUUUUUCCUCAAUUUCUCCUUCUUUUUAAUUGCUGCCUGGGUAUUACAGCCUUUGAACAGCUGAACAACAUUGCAGAUUAUUUUGCUGAAUCAACGUCCUAGAAAAUAUGCUUUGUCAUCAUGAUAUGGACAUUUGCUGAUUAUUGCACUGAACUUAAAUAUUAAAAGCUGCACAAGUAUUUUCAAGUUCUCCUUUCUCUUUCCUCACAUCUGCAAGUAUAGAUUAAGGAUGGUCAUUAUUUUUGUGCUUUAAAGUCAACAUCUCUUUUUAUCCUGAUUUCAUGCAGUAUGUUGGUGUAAGAAUAAGGUGACAGUGCCUAUGUCCUUGUGUGAAUUCUAAUUAAUUUGUUUCAUUAAUUUGGUUCUCAUGGAAAUUUUGAGAUCUCUCGAUGAAAAUAAUAGUUUGUUUUCAUAUUUGAGCAGUAGUUUUACCAUAAACACAUAAUAUCUUUUUCUUCAGUGCAGUGCAGUGAUACUUUUAUGUGUAGCUUGAUUUUGUUCAAUUAGUUGUGUGUAAGUAUAAUAUAGCAUCUGUCAUCUCUUUAUUUAAAUGUAUCAUUGCUUAAUGUGGAUUUUCAGGUUUGUCUAUUGGGAGGGUUUAGGUUGGGUUUUUUUCCUUUCUUCCUAUUUACCAUGCAAUGAUCAGUUUGCAAGUUUUAUAUUAUACUAAUCAGAAUUUUCAUGACAUGGAAAUGGUGGGCCCCUCAAAGUUAUUCUUCUUUUUGUAUUAUUUUAGAUAAGUAUGAAUCUGAUAAGACUGCACCAAAUGUAAUAUAUCAUUGUUUGGAAAUUGGCUUGGACUUUUAUUGAGUUGUCCUGUGUCUGAUGUUACUGAUUCAAAUGAUAAUUUGCAAGUAAUUAUUUAGAUUGGAAGAAAGGAACUGAAAACCAACUCCGUAAUUUACUUCAUCACGUCCCUUCAGUGCUGACUGUCCAUCUGUUGAUGGAGUUAGUUUACUGUAAGCAGUGCCAAUCUGUAAUAGAUGAAACCACCUGAAUGCCAUUGGCAACUUUUGCAUUCUUGUUUACUAAAGCUGCUGUUAUUAUAAAUGAAUCUGAAAGUGACU